rnacentral:rRNA from 1 species
UGGGGAAUUUUGGACAAUGGGCGAAAGCCUGAUCCAGCAAUGCCGCGUGUGUGAAGAAGGCCUUCGGGUUGUAAAGCACUUUUGUCCGGAAAGAAAUCCUUGGCUCUAAUACAGUCGGGGGAUGACGGUACCGGAAGAAUAAGCACCGGCUAACUACGUGCCAGCAGCCGCGGUAAUACGUAGGGUGCAAGCGUUAAUCGGAAUUACUGGGCGUAAAGCGUGCGCAGGCGGUUUGCUAAGACCGAUGUGAAAUCCCCGGGCUCAACCUGGGAACUGCAUUGGUGACUGGCAGGCUAGAGUAUGGCAGAGGGGGGUAGAAUUCCACGUGUAGCAGUGAAAUGCGUAGAGAUGUGGAGGAAUACCGAUGGCGAAGGCAGCCCCCUGGGCCAAAUACUGACGCUCAUGCACGAAAGCGUGGGGAGCAAAACAGGAUUAGAUACCCUGGUAGUCCACGCCCUAAAACGAUGUCAACUAGUUGUUGGGGAUUCAUUUCCUUAGUAACGUAGCUAACGCGUGAAGUUGACCGCCUGGGGAGUACGGUCGCAAGAUUAAAACUCAAAUGAAUUGAC